UCCUAAGUGGCUUAGAGGGUAAAGCGUCUGCCUGCAAUGUGGGAGACAUGGGUUCAAUCCCCGGGUUGGGAA
rnacentral:tRNA from 1 species